rnacentral:pre_miRNA from 1 species
UCUUCAUUCCACACACUCUCUCACCGGUCGGAGAGGCGAGAGAGAGAGAGAGUGUGUGAAAUGAAGAGA